UCCCCCAUGGCGCAAUUGGCUAGCGCGUUCGACUGUUACUCAUUCGUGAGGAAUGGCAUCGGGAGGUUGAUAGUUCGAGCCUAUCUGGGGGAG
rfam:Mycosphaerella eumusae strain CBS 114824 scaffold1, whole genome shotgun sequence.